rnacentral:rRNA from 1 species
UAAUACGAAGGGUGCAAGCGUUAAUCGGAAUUACUGGGCGUAAAGGGUGCGUAGGCGGUUCGUUAAGUCUGUUGUGAAAUCCCCGGGCUCAACCUGGGAAUGGCAAUGGAUACUGGCGGGCUAGAGUGUGUCAGAGGAUGGUGGAAUUCCCGGUGUAGCGGUGAAAUGCGUAGAGAUCGGGAGGAACAUCAGUGGCGAAGGCGGCCAUCUGGGACAACACUGACGCUGAAGCACGAAAGCGUGGGGAGCAAACAGGAUUAGAUACCCUGGUAGUCCACGCCCUAAACGAUGCGAACUGGAUGUUGGUCUCAACUCGGAGAUCAGUGUCGAAGCUAACGCGUUAAGUUCGCCGCCUGGGGAGUACGGUCGCAAGACUGAAACUCAAAUGAAUUGACGG